UACGGAGGGUGCGAGCGUUGUCCGGAAUUAUUGGGCGUAAAGAGCUCGUAGGCGGUUUGUCGCGUCUGCUGUGAAAACUCAGGGCUUAACUCUGAGCUUGCAGUGGGUACGGGCAGACUAGAGUGCGGUAGGGGAGACUGGAAUUCCUGGUGUAGCGGUGAAAUGCGCAGAUAUCAGGAGGAACACCGGUGGCGAAGGCGGGUCUCUGGGCCGUAACUGACGCUGAGGAGCGAAA
rnacentral:rRNA from 1 species